AAACGCUUGAAGUCAGUCGCGUCUUCCAGGGAUCAAGUUACCUAUGGGUGACCGCACUUUCUGGUCGACGGGUCAGCAUCAAUUUUGAUCGUUGGAUAAGGGCCUCGGGAAUGUGGCAUCUUCGGAUGUGUUAUAG
rnacentral:rRNA from 1 species